rnacentral:rRNA from 1 species
GACGGAGGAUGCAAGCGUUAUCCGGAAUGAUUGGGCGUAAAGCGUCCGCAGGUGGCAGUUCAAGUCUGCUGUCAAAGACCGGGGCUUAACUUCGGAAAGGCAGUGGAAACUGAACAGCUAGAGUAUGGUAGGGGCAGAGGGAAUUCCUGGUGUAGCGGUGAAAUGCGUAGAGAUCAGGAAGAACACCGAUGGCGAAGGCAAUCCCCUGGACCUGUACUGACGCUCAUGCACGAAAGCGUGGGGAGCAAACAGG